rnacentral:rRNA from 1 species
UACAGAGGGGGCUAGCGUUAAUCGGAAUUACUGGGCGUAAAGCGCGCGUAGGCGGCUUUGCAAGUCGGGUGUGAAAUCCCCAGGCUUAACCUGGGAACUGCAUUCGAGACUGCAUUGCUAGAGUAUGGGAGAGGGAAGUGGAAUUUCCGGUGUAGCGGUGAAAUGCGUAGAUAUCGGAAGGAACAUCAGUGGCGAAAGCGACUUCCUGGACCAAUACUGACGCUCAUGUGCGAAAGCGUGGGGAGCAAACAGG